AUGACAAAAACAUAUGUGGCAGGCAUUCAUUUCUUCUUUUCUGCAAAAUUUGUCUUUAACCCAAACAUAAAAAUUUAAGUCACAACAAACAAGAAAAGCUAGAAAUGCAAAACUGAUACUUUUCUUCUUAAUUAUUUCUCGCAGGUGCAGGAUACCACAUGGUCAUAGUGAAAGAACCAUAUUGUAAAGCUGGAGAAAUUGCCUGUCUUAUAUAUCAUUAUGUACCAAGUGCCAUUUUGGAGAACAAUAUUGGAGCUGAAUUAUCAUUUAUUUUACCUAAAGAGUACGUAAAUAGGUUUGAAACUUUGUUCGCUGAGCUGGAAAAUCAUGGAGUAAAGCUGGGCAUUGCCAGUUUUGGUGCUUCUAUCACAACCAUGGAAGAAGUCUUCCUUAACCAUAAACAGUCCAUCAUAGUGUGAAAACCCUUGGUGUGACAACCCUUCAG
rnacentral:lncRNA from 1 species